rnacentral:rRNA from 1 species
UACGUGGGGGGCAAGCGUUGUUCGGAAUUAUUGGGCGUAAAGGGCUCGUAGGCGGCCAGUUAAGUCAGACGUGAAAUCCCCAGGCUCAACCUGGGAACUGCGUCUGAUACUGGAUGGCUUGAAUCCGGGAGAGGGAUGCAGAAUUCCAGGUGUAGCGGUGAAAUGCGUAGAUAUCUGGAGGAAUACCGGUGGCGAAGGCGGCAUCCUGGACCGGCAUUGACGCUGAGGAGCGAAAGCUAGGGGAGCAAACGGG